rnacentral:sRNA from 1 species
UAGAAAGUCAGACGAAGAAUAUGGGUUGC